rnacentral:rRNA from 1 species
CGGGAGGCAGCAGUGAGGAAUAUUGGUCAAUGGGCGAGAGCCUGAACCAGCCAAGUAGCGUGAAGGAUGACUGCCCUAUGGGUUGUAAACUUCUUUUAUAAAGGAAUAAAGUCGGGUAUGGAUACCCGUUUGCAUGUACUUUAUGAAUAAGGAUCGGCUAACUCCGUGCCAGCAGCCGCGGUAAUACGGAGGAUCCGAGCGUUAUCCGGAUUUAUUGGGUUUAAAGGGAGCGUAGAUGGAUAUUUAAGUCAGUUGUGAAAGUUUGCGGCUCAACCGUAAAAUUGCAGUUGAUACUGGAUAUCUUGAGUGCAGUUGAGGCAGGCGGAAUUCGUGGUGUAGCGGUGAAAUGCUUAGAUAUCACGAAGAACUCCGAUUGCGAAGGCAGCCUGCUAAGCUGCAACUGACAUUGAGGCUCGAAAGUGUGGGUAUCAAACAGGAUUAGAUACCCUGGUAGUCCACACGGUAA